rnacentral:rRNA from 1 species
CCUACGGGAGGCAGCAGUGGGGAAUAUUGCACAAUGGGGGAAACCCUGAUGCAGCGACGCCGCGUGAGUGACGACGUAUUUCGGUAUGUAAAGCUCUAUCAGCCGGGAAGCAAAUGACGGUACCUGAUUACGAAUCCCCGGCUAACUACGUGCCGGAAGCCGCGGUAAUACGUAGGGGGCAAGCGUUAUCCGGAUUUACUGGGUGUAAAGGGAGCGUAGACGGUGAUGCAAAUCAUAAGGGAAAGCCCGGGGCUCAACUCCGGGACAGCUUUUGAAACUGUGUGACUGGAGUGCAGGAGAGGGAAGCGGAAUGCCUGGUGUAGCGGUGAAAUGCGUAGAUAUCAGGAGGAACACCAGUGGCGAAGGCGGCUUACUGGACUGUAACUGACGUUGAGGCUCGAAAGCGUGGGGAGCAAACAGGAUUAGAUACCCGAGUAGUC